CAAGACGUAGCUUAACUAAAGCAUUCAGCUUACACCUGAAAGAUACCUACUCACCACAGGUCGUCUUGA
rnacentral:tRNA from 1 species